rnacentral:piRNA from 1 species
GACAAAACCACAGAGGACUCAGGGAGUCAC